rnacentral:tRNA from 1 species
GCCCGAGUGGCGGAAUGGUAUACGCGGUCGGCUCAAACCCGGCUGGUGGGAACACCUUGGGGGUUCGAAUCCCCCCUCGGGCACCA